ACUAACACUACUUUAAACCACUUGUAUUUCACUAAGGAAAAUUUCUUUUAUUUUUAUACUAAAACUCAGUAUUAUUAAAAUAUAUGAUUGUUUUUGUUUGUAAGUUGUAGUGUGCCACUACUGAUAAGUCAUGUGAUUAAUGUUAAUAUUAUGAUUGGUCGAGCCUUUCCUUUGUGACGUGGAUUUGUGACGCAGUAGUUGGAGUGGAGAGAGAAGAAGAGAGUGGACGUAGUGCUUGUAGAGUUGGCUGUAAAGUUUGUUUACGUUUUAAUUUUGUGAUGUGUAUGGUUUCUAAUAUGUCGUGUUUGCAGUAGGUGGCAUGUUGAAGGUUCGCCAUUUUCUAUGUUUGUUAACAUUACAAAGCUGUGCACAGCUGUCAACUGUGAUAUCGUCUUUUUUCAUAAAAUAUGUGCAAUUUCAAUGCAAAUUAAGGUUGGACACAUGAGUGCUGUAGUAUUACGUCGAAUCGGUACUUUUGAAAUGCAUUUGAAAAGAACUGCGUAGUUACUGGGACAGCGUAUUUGGGCAGACUGUGAGAACAUUUCCAGACGUUGCAUUUACGAGUGUCCGUGAUUACAUUGCCCAUAACCGUUUGCUGUCACAAUGGUUGAAAUAAGCGCCGAGAAAUUUGGCAACCCUGGAUCACAUAAUUUUCAAAAGGUUCAUGUGAGACCAAGGAUUUCGAAGAAUACAGCAUAUUUCAGUAGUAUUGUGACUCCAUCUAGGGGGAAACUCAGAAAGUCAGAUUCCUGUCAGGGGGCGAACAGCGGCACUUUGAGAAUGAGUGCAGGCAACGCUCCUAGUACGGCUGUGUUACAGCUGACUUUUAGCUCAACAAAGCGGAACUCCCCGAAGAUACGAUCGAGAAUGAGUCCGUCCAAGGAAAAUAACACGGGGACGUCACCCGUGCUUGGAGCAUUUUACGCAGGCCCCAAAUUUAGUGAUCCCCCAGAGGCAGCUGCACUGCCAAAACCUCCGAUGCACUGGACAUCAUCUGUGUGUAUGGCAACUGGGGGUGCAUUUCCUCUGAUACCAUCCCAGAGAUCAGACAGGUGCAGGGAUAUCUCCAACCAACUCAAACUACUGCUGAAUGUCUCAGCAUGAGUGGUUCGGCCACUGGCAGCUGAAAAUUCUCAAUCUGUAUUGAUAGUGUUUUGAAUGAUGCAUGUGAUGAAUGGUAAUGUGAUUAUGAGAAAUGCAUGGAAUAUUGUAGAGAUUUUUUUUUUUAAUUUAAAGUAAAUGCACAACUCGUGGGCAUGGCAAUGUGUAGUUUUACAAGAAAAUGUUUUAAAUCUUUAGUUUUUUUAUAUUGCUGUAUAUUAUUUUACGUAAAAUUUGUAAUUGUUUGUCUCUUUCAAAAUCUUUUGCCAUUGUUUUGCCCAUGUGUAGUUUUAAUCUGCAGCAAUAAACCUCACAAGGAUUGCAGUUUUUUUUUUUUCUCGUUACUUGGGUAGUUUAUAAGGCUAUUAAUAUACGUACAAAUAUAAGUCUCGUCUAAUAUUUCUAAAAUCCGUAGUACAGUGUUUGUGUGUGCCUACAGCUCAAAUUUUCAGUAAAGUCUUCUAAUUUGUAAUAUGUUACCUAGUUAUGUUUUCCAAAAAAAAAUGUUUGCUGACUUUCUAGUUGCAUUUCCUUGUGUUGUUUUGCUUUUAGUAUCUGGAGUUCACCUGAAAAUAUGCUUGUGUAAUAUUAAUGGGGCUUGUUAGCUACAAAUAUUUUUCCUUUCAAACAGCUGGUGCUGCAGAACUUUUUUUUAAGAGUAAUUGGUUUGAAUUUAAGUAGUAUGCUAAAGCACAUAAUGAAUUUUAUUGGUCAGUUCAACAUAUCAUUGUUUUAAGUCCUUGAACAAUAAUGUGUAGUGUGUAGCUGCAUUUUGCAAGCAUUCAAGUUUUCAUGAUUUUAUCAUUUAGGUAUUUCUUGCAAUUAUGAAAGUACACAUUUUAAAAAAUGCUGCCAAAAUAUAUUAAUAUGUUAAUUUUUUCAUAGGUUAAGUUAUAAAUUUAAGGUAAUGUGUAUUCCUAGAUCAAAUGCAUUGUUUCAUUAGGCCAUGUUUCUAAUAACUAGUACUACAACAAAUUACACUUUUUUUCAAACAAAUUGAUUCUUUUAAAAACAAGAUUACUGCAAGUCUUGCAUUUCUGCAAAUACUGUUAAAUUUACUUUUUGAUUAUCUUCAGUUUGUGUGGGUUUGGCAAAGCAUUGUUAAUAUACACCCAUUCUGUUAACAGAUUUUUAACUCUUUAAAUAAUAUAUUUAAAAUAUUACAAAUGUUUGUAUAAAAUUAAUUUGGCAUUGAUGGAUCAAUUGGUUUUAUGUAUUUAAACAUCUUUACAUACCUACUUGUUCCAUCCAGCACUUUCAUUUUAUGGAAUACAGUUCUGAUUUCACUUAAGUGAGUGUUGGGAACAUGGCUUAAUUGUAGGGCUAAUUUCUUGAUGUAUUUACACACCUUUGUGCUUCUAGAAUGGUUGAUGUCCCCAAUUUGUAUUUUGGCAGGUAUUUGCCUUAUUGUAAACUAGCAUUUGUUUGUGCCAUGUUAGUACAUCUGAAAAUCACAGCAUACUGAUUUUUUUGCAGUGAGCAACCACAGCAUAACAGUUUCAUGGCAGUUUGUCUUAUAGAAUGUUAAGCUUUUCUCAUUGCACCAUUUGCUGUUCUGCAGAACUUUCUAACUAAUUGGUAUGUUAGUGUGUGUGUGCUGUAGAAAGUUGGUCAUCUUUAAAAAGUUUGAUUUUAUUUAAAUGUUUAAUACUGAAAUGGUGAGAAAUGGAAGUUUUCCAGAAACUGGUAUUUACUUCCUCCAAUACCAGACUUUCAUAACAUAUGAAAUAUCAGCAAUUGGAUGAAGCAAAUUAUAAGGACAAAGAGCUGUUCUAAUCAGGUAGCUCUUCUUUCAUGCAUGCCAAAUUUACAAUCAUGAUGUGUAAUUCCUUUUGAUUCCAACUUCAUAGCAGUUGGAAUGAAACACAGGGCAUUAAGUCCCUGUUCAAAUGAAUUAAAAUAGCCAGCUAGGAGAGAAGUUGAUAGAAAUACUGUGUGUGGGGAUGAAUGAAUACUUUCAGAGAAUUCAGCUGUGUCUAUCAAAAGGAACAUAACUUCCAUAACAAGCAAUGUUAAAAUGUUUUCUAGCUUGCAAAAUCUAGUAACAGAGGGCCUUGACUUCCAUUCACCCCUAAAAACUUUUCAGAAAAGUGUGCUUUCCUUAUUCUAGUUUAACCCUAGCUGUAACUUUCACUUUUGACAUAUUCUUCCCCUCCUCCAUAUAGUAACGCAGUGGUUAUAUUUCCAUCUUACCUAUUUUGCAGUGUAAUCCACCUUAGGUUUUAAACAUUGAUUUUGAUUUAUUGCUUGAUAGAUACACUUGUGACAGCAGAACCUCUAUUAUAACUUUUCUCUAAAUAUGCUUUUUCAACCCUCAAUCCUUUUUGCAUCUAUUCCCUAGUCAUUUUCUUUUGCUCAUGUUUAAUCUUUGUGGUGUUAACAACAUUCCAUUGCUUUAGCAUGAAUAAACUAGGCAAAUAGGCUGUUUCUAUUUUCUGCCAAGUUUUACCCAUCUAAUGCCUUUAGUUACUGGUUUCUCUUUGGCAAUAUUGUGGCCCCCUCAGCUGUAUAGUUUCUUUUGAGACAGUUCAAUAGGUUAGGGCACUAGUUCCAGGUGUUGCCAAUGUGCAGUGCACCCUGAGAUACCCAGUGUAUGCUGAAAGCAGGCACCAGUAAUGGGCAGGGCCUAAACCAACAGGCUUGGAAAAGGGUCUGCUCAUUCGGGACCCACCUAGGCGAGCUGGGCUAUAAAGUCCAAAACCUGCUACGUCAUGAAAAAAAACAUAAGAUAGCAGAGAAAAGGGCACAAAAGAAGCCAAAUAUGAAAAGUAAAAAAUAUAUAUGUUUGUAGUGAACAUUUGCCGACCUAAGUAAAAUAUUUAGACUUGUGUUAAAUAUGAACUAUAACAACCUUAUACCAUUGUGUGUUUCCAAGCAGGGAGAUUGAAAGGAUAGCCCUGAUUAAAUUGAUAACCUUUAUAUAUUCAUGGUUUCUGCGGCAAAACACUCAAGUACUAAGAUAAUUUGGGGUGCACAGUACCUAGCUGUGCCACCUGCCUCUCUGAGAAAUAUGCAGUUUUCACACUUUGGAUGUGCUUUUUUAUCAUGCCUUUGCAAAAAAAAAUUAAGACCCCCAUAAAUACAAUACAAUCAUACAAAUAUUGCAUGGUUCGUACACCUCUUUAAGUCCUUAAUUUGUCUUUGAUUAAAUAAGGGCCCUAUAUUAUUUCGAUUUAACUAAGUAUCCUUUAAGUCUACUUAAGGGACUGAUGGUGUACAAGUAAUGGAUAAAUGCGAGUAAUUUAUUGUUUCCGACUUGGCAGCAAACAACGCUUUGAGCAGUACAAUUGGCAAAAUUUUGGCCACAUAAUUACAUUUUAUGUAUAAAAACCUUUUGAAUUUUUUUUUGUAUUUUGUAUGUCACCUUUAAACUAAAAAAAGGCAUGUUUUACUGUCUUUCAACUUAUGAAGGAAAUGUAAUUAGUGAUCAAAGUAAAUGUGAUGUACAAAUUUCAGAUACACUAAGCUUGGGUUAGCUAUGUGUUCCAGAGAUAAUUCUGGACAAUAGGGGCUUAUCUGUAAGAAUUGAACCAACCAUCAAAGUUAAUUUUCAUUUUAACUAUUUAACAUUAUUAUUUUCUUAAAGGAAUUUGUGAUAUAAAUUUUUUCUACCUCUUGAUAAUGGCGAAAGUGAUGAAGUUCAGGUGUCCUUAAAAACUCCUUAAUUGUUGAUUGCACAAGAAGGUUUGAACCAUGUAUUGCUAGUCUUAGACCGGUUUGCACAGUCCUGACUUAAGGCGAAGUAGGGUAUUCUUUCUUUGAUUAACCUGCCAAGUUUAUGUUCGAACUUAACUCUCCUGACUCAGCAAACGGAUGUUAGAAUCACGUUUAGUUCUUCUUUUCUUUGUAAAGAGACAAGAGACAUCAAUUAAAUGCACAUGCAAUAUUGAUUGAUAUUAUAAAAGUCUACAUAACCAUUUUCAGCUUACCCACAAUAAAUAUUAGUUAUGACACAUUUUUAAUUUUUAUUUCAUAUUUUGUAUAAGGAUAGUUCAUCUGUAGGUCGUGCCUUGCCAGCGUAUUGCAGAAUGUUGCCUGUCCACUUGAAAAAUGUGAAUUUUUUAUUUUUUUUUUUUUUUUUGUAUUUUUAAGGAAUUACAUAAAGUAGGUAACACCAAUGUCCUUCCUGAGUGAUAGAAAAGUAAGAAAUGUUUUGUAAACAGAACUUCAUUACAUUACUUCACAUUCCAUGUAAACUUCUAAACUAUUACCUUACCCUUGGUUUGAGGUUAUAUAUUACAGCCAGUUGCAAUGAAUAUUGCUCUUUUAUGUAUUUGGCACUCUUUUCUCCCAAAAAAAAUUCACCUUCCUCAAAUUUAUUUAAUUAUGUUAAAAGUAAUUUUGUACUAACAUAGUGAUGCAUAUUUUUAAGGAUGUCUGGUGGUUGCAAUAGUGUCAGUACCCUUAAGUGCUUGGAAAAGUUUUUAAACUGCUUGGAGGGAAAUUAUUGUUAGGCCCUCAAUUGAAACGUUUCCCAGAGUGUACGCGGCUCUUAUUCAUCCGAGCAAUGUAAUUACUUCUUAACCAGCAUUAAUAUCCAGUUAAGAGUCAAUUUUAAUUAUGCUAAGCAUACUUAAAAUUCUUGAAUCAUGAAAGUUACCUUGAUUUUAAUAUAUUAUAAUUCACUUGGAUGGUAUGUCAAUGUUAACUCUGAAACUAUGUCUGCUGUAGUACAUACUGUACUUGCAUCUGUGGUCUGAAUUUUAUAGGUCUAUGUAAUUGAUUUUUUAUGCAUAGUUCUGAAGCAUGACUCAUGUGACCUGGACGUAUAUUUUGUUCCUGUAAAAUUUGCUGUGUCCUUACAGUCUUAUUUUGUUUCUAAAUUGAUAGCUCAGCAAUGUCAUCUUGGGUAAUACUGUUUUAGGCUAUAGUCAAAAUUAAAAAUUGGACAGGUAAUAGCAUAAGAAUAUUAUUAGGUGGACUAACUAAACUAUGUUAACAAAACUGAUUUUUUUUUUUUUAAUUUUCACAUUAAUUGAAAUGGAAGAAGUAACAACUUGGUGAAAUUUAUACAUCUGUAUAUUUACAACUAAUGAAGUCUUAGUUUUUUUAUUAUUUUUUAAUAAUUGUUACAUAUUAAACAUUUUUCUGGUUAGAAGAUACCUAAACCAAAUUUAACUUAAAGAAAUUUAUGUCUGUACAAAUUUAUUUAAAUAAAAUAUUGCUAAUGCUACUGAUUUUAAAUUCACACAGGUUUUUGAUAGUAACCCCAGUUUUAAUUUAGUUUUUGUUUUAUUGCAAUGUUUCAAACAGUUCCAAAGUUAUGGUAAUUACAUCCCCCCCAUUUAUUUCCAAAAAGUAUUGCAGGAUUUAUAAAUGUGUGUGAGUGUGUGUGUGUCCGUGCGUGCGGGCAGGUGCAUUGGGACUGAGUGCCGCCGCCCCCCCCCCCCCCCCCUGUUGGUUUUAUGUUAAUUUUUUCUAUUAAUUAUAAUUAGGUACCCCUGCAUGAUUGAAAAGUCACAUAGUAAGAUGGUUUUGUAAGUUGAAUAAUUAUUCUAGUGCACUUACUUAAGUCCUUGCAGAUUUUUAAGUUGUGGUCCAAAAAAAAUUCUUAAGUAAAUAAUUUAUGUAAAUUAUCUAGUCUGCACUUACAAAGUUGUAGGCUCAGCUAGUUGUACAUAAAAUUUCAAUGUAAAAGAAAGGUAAGGAAAUGUUUUAAUUAAAACUGAAUCAGUCCUUGAAAAUGUUACCGUAGAUAUCAUAGGUCCAGUAUGGUGCCAGAAACUUGUACCUGUUUUAACUUAUAAGCUCUGUGAAUUUCUACAGUAAAGUAGAAUCUUCAUCCUGGUUAAUGAAAAAUUAUUUUAUAUAAAUGUGAGAUAAUACUGAAAAAUUGAACAGAACUUUUAACCGUCAGAUUUUUAUUGUUGUAUAAUUAUAGUCAAGGCCCAUCUACUGUAGCAAUGUUCCAAAUUGUGUCUGAUGGACACUGAUCGUGAGGAAACCUGUAUGGUGAGUGUGAUACUACUCAAACAUCAUGUUUCAUUAAAUGUGUUGAUGAUGUUGAGACUGCGUGUGUGAUGUGUGUAUUUGUGUACGUACCUGCAUGCCUGCUUACAUACAUAAAUAAUUUUCAAAGUAGUUCUGCAGAGCAAAACAAAUGGUGUAUAGCUCCAGCUGGAUUUUUAAUUAGUCGGUAUUUUAUAUUUACUAUUUGUGUAUUGCUCUAAAUAAUAUAAGAUUUUUAUUUUUCAUGUUCAAAUUGUAAUUUUGGCAAGAUGUUGAUGUAAGUAAAUACUGUCUUGUCUGCUGGUUCUACUGUUCUACUGCUACUUUGUGCUGUUAUGCUGUAGCUCAGGGAACUUGGAAUAAUUUAACAUGGCAUUACGUAGACGUUUAAAUGUAGGCUACGGAAAAUUGUUUUGUGAUAAAAUCAAAUGUGUAAACCCACUGCACAACUUCUGUGCAUGGUUUUUGUCUUCUGAGAAUUGUAUUAGACUUGUGUGUAUUUUUCAGAAUCAGAUGUGUGUAUUGUAAUAUUUGUUAACAUAAAAGAGAAUUUUAUUUCUAGAUUUUAUGGUAAGUUAGUGUUUCAAAAGUCCAAGUGGCACGACCUAGCAAGACUGAGCCAUGAGAAAAUAUGUAUUAGUAUCUAGUCAAAAAGGGUCGUGAAUUUUGUAACUUGUUAACGUACUUGCAUAUUUUUUUAAAAUUGUCUGUGAUGGUGAAAGUUGUUCCUUGUAAACUUGAAUUGCACUAUGCCAUGGAAAAAAAUGUUAUCUGUUAAUUGCUAGAGAAUGGCAAUUUUGUGACGCCUUCCUCUGUAUUCUGUUUUGGCGUCAGUGCCGAUACUCAGGUAACAAAGUUCCUUCCAUGUGUGAUAUAAAAAGGUACAAAUAUAUAUACGUCAACUGCCUCUCUUUGUAUUGAGUUCGUAAAUCACUGGACAUGAGAGGGAGUGGAAUGUGGACUGUCAGGGCAAGUUGUGUGGGACAGUGCUUGUGUGAGACGGAACUUGUCGUUACAGUGUGGCGAAUGUAAGGAGACAUGGUGUAAAGACUUGCAGAAAUUUUGGUAAGGAAAAAACAUUCCAUGCAUUUUUUUAUGCUCAUGUUUGGAGAAGGUAUUUGCCCAUCUUUAUUGCAGUGCGAGUUUACAUCUCAGCUUUCAAAAAUUUUAUUAUCAAGGACCAAGCGAAACACUAACUUUGUAAUGAUUUUUAUUGUCAUUAGAGACCAAAUGGAUCAAGCUGUUAGUUGAGUACAAAGGACAUCUUUCUCUCGGCUUCUCCACCAACCAAAUCCGGCGAAUAUUCACAUUUUAAAAAAUAUAUAUAUAAUCCCUGGAGAGACAAGAAGGUGCAAGAAGUUGUCUUCCAAUAAAAAAAAGUAAAAAAAUUUGCCCUGUGCAAUAUUCGAGGCCUAUACUUGAGAAGCUGAAAGAGUUUUAAUCAUUAAGUUUGUGUGAAUGAAUGUUUAUAUUUUUACAAAGUGUAAGAUCUCAUAUCUCAUUUUGUGUAUGAACUUUUUUUAUAUAUAGCUUAUGUUUAUUUGUCUUUCUCCUCUUCCCCCCUCCCCUCCCCAACACAUCUCUUUCCUUCCAUAUUUCAAAUACUUUGCCAAAGAUAUUCACCGUGCUAUGCCCAUACCUAAACCUACAAAACCUAUCCUAAUUUCUUAUUUGUUGUCCAUUUAUUUUUGUCAUGAUCAUCCUGCAUUUUGAAAAUACUCUCAUAACUAUUUCAAUAAUCCCAAAUCCUUGCUCAUUUACAUCUUUCUUCCCGGGCCCUUUUAAGGGCCCACAAAAAUGGCUUGAAAGUUCAGUUGUUCAGCUGUUCCAUUACAUGAAGAAGAUUGUUAGUAUAAGGUAAGUACAUGGAGAGGGGGGGGGGAGAGAUAGAACCAUGCAGCAAAUGAAUGCUUAAUCAUGCUGCACGAGACUGUUUUUACAAUUCAGUUUUCAUGCUCAUACAAGCAGUAGCCAAAUCACUAAAUGCAUCAUAGCACUAGGUAUUAGAAGGAUGAUUUUUGGAAAUGCAAAUUAAAUCCUUUAAAUCAAGUAAGAUAAUGUAUAUAUAACUUAAAUGUAUAUUUUUAUAUAUAAUUUUUGCAGGGCAGAAAAGUAUUUAACACAACCUGGCAGAGUAGUAUUGAAAGGGGUAACUUGCACAUGGUUCCAUCUUAUUCUGCCCAAAAUAAGGUAAGUAACUUACUGCAUCAUGCCAUUGAAUCACAUGACCUAUUAAGUAUUAUGACAAUUAUGUGUAUUUUCAGUGGAGAGAUUUAACUAGCUGUACAGAUUACGGAAUGUAUUAAAAAAUAUAACAAACUGUUUGUCUGUAAAUGUUUUAGAGAAACUAUUUCAUUAAAAAAAAGCGCAAAUAUUAAACUUAAGACCCAAUGUUACUACACACAUUUUUGUUGUGAAUUUUUUGUUUCCCGGUAUACUUAGAAAUUUCAGCAUUUGUGGAAAAUUUUAAUUAGGAAAGCUUUGGUCUUCUUUUAUGGUAUACUGAUUGCUAAAUUUUAUGUAGUGUUAGGUGUAGCUAAAAUAAGUUUUAAUUUUAAACAGUAAAAAGUUAAAUUUAUUUAACAUUAUUUUGCGCUUUGUUGAUUUACAUAAACUAUGUUAAACCCAAUGGAAAUUAAUAUGUACCAUAAAUUACAAUUAACGUUUAAAGCUUUUUUUGGCCAGAGUCAUUUCAGUUGAUCAGUUUUUGUGCUAGCUGUUUUGAGUAUUUUGUACAUGCUGUUCAUAUCUCUUUGCAAGCCAAUGUCAGACGUAGUAAUUCACUCAGUUAUCUAAAACUUGACAUUUUACCUCCUGACUAGUACUGGAAGCCCAGUCCCAAUCCUGUCCGUAGUCUGGCGUGAUGCCGGAACGUGCCAGCCAACUGCAUUGCCACCACUGCCAACACAAAUUCUGCUCACGAACAAUUUUGUGACCAGAGUGGUCCUAAAGUCGACCAAGGGUGGCUUUGCCUUCAUUAAAUGUAGUAUUGCUUUUAAAUAUUGUACAGGAAGGACUGGAAAGUGUUAUUUUUUUAAUUUAUUGCUAAGGACAAGACGCGUCACCCGUGGUAUUUUAGUAUGAUGUAGGCCACAGUCAGGCACAGAUGCUUUCCUGAGGGAAUUCUGCAUUUAUUUUCUAAUUAGCUGAUAUUUAACAUAGGCAGGUAGUACACUUUUAUACUUAAACCAAUUUUUCUGACCCCCCAUGAUCACCCUGAUAAUUUUGAAAGUGAGAUCCUUACUCUGCACCCAGUAAUUUAACCCUUCCUUUUCAUCGAUUGCCAUGUUGUCAACAUCCUGUGGUACCAGCUGACUCCGGAAACCUUUUCCGUGCGAGUGACUGCUUCACCAUAGUUUUUCAAACAGAAAUGUGUUUUGUCUAACAGUUUUCUGCAGUUGAUACAUUUGCUAUUGCAGCUGUACUCAAGUAAGUACCCUUUUUUCAUGCAUUGUUACAGGUGACAAGCAGUAAUGGUGUAACACGUGGGGCAGGAUAUUCGCUUUUCUCAAGUGUGCUCCAGCUCACUGUGUAUGUAUAAACGUCUCUAGCCAGUCACCAUAGCUUGACAAGCUGCGAUUCCACCUCACUGACUGACGUGAGGUAACCUACUGAGUGAGCUGGAACCAGGCAACAGUCAACCUUUACAGGCAUGUUUCAGGUUGGAGAUACGCUGCAGGACAAACGCAAUAUUGCCGAUUUUCAACUCGGCAGUAUAGGUUUAUAUGCACCCUAGUAGAAAGCUGCCCCAACCCCACCUAGACCAGCCUUUACCCUAUUGCUUUUUCAACUGAUCUUUGAUUUUACAAUCUACUACAAAUUUCUAUGUAAGAUUAUAUAAAUUUUUUAUAAAGUUAAGUAGGUACUGAAAUAAAUUACUUCUGCAAUUAUUUGAAUUUUAUGCAAAAUUUAGUUCAGUUUUGAUAAUCCGUUACAACACAAAAUUCAUGAAUGGUUUGAGCACUAGCUUGAUGUGGUUGGGGGAUUCACUUAAGAUUUGAAAUGCGGAAACAGUGACUCCACUGUGUUUAGGGAACACUGACCUGGCAGAGACUGUCCUCAGGAGGUGAUGUCACUUGUGUGGAAGCAUGAUUCACAUCCCCCUAAUGCAGUUACCUUUGUGCCAGGACCUGGCCUGCUCUCAGCAUCUGACACACCUACAAGAGGUUAAGUGAGCUCUUGUAAGCAUCCCACCUGCCGGUCUCGUAAGUGGUCAGCGCGUAGACGAACGCAGAAAGAAGGGAAUUUGACAUGGUGAAUGAGAUGUAAUAAACGCCAUUGUGUUACAUGCCUCACAUAAAUUUAGAUUACACAACUUAAAUGGUAGAAAAGCGUAACAGCACGGAUAGGUUUAGUGGAUGUCCGAGCCACCUCGUAGUUGAUUAGAACUUCUCGUUGUAAUGUAAGAAUGCUGGCUAGCUGAUUACUAUUUAAUUAAACUUAACAGUUGAGAUAAGCUCUGAGGGUAAUUAAAAGCGAUUCAGAUAAUUAAUAUAUAUGGGGAUGACUACACUACUUCGGGUGGCGAUGCAAUGUCACUGGGCUGAGAGUUGACCGCUGGAGGCACUGGAUGACAUACCCAUGCCAAGUUAGAUUGACAAGUCAUUUAAAUUCCUGCCCUUUACAGUUUCCCGUGUAAAAUUAUUACAAUCAUAUUUAAGUACAAAAAUUACAUAAUGUAAUAUUGUGUAAAUAUUGCUGUUUAAAAUUAUAAAUACUUUGGCAAGUUUGUAUCUGUUUCUCUGGUUAAUAUAAUUUAAAUAAAAUAAACACAGAAUGCUGUCGGGAUGGUGAAAAGAACACACAACUUGGGGGAAAAAAGUUUACUAUCUGAAUUAUUAGUUUUUAAAAGGAACAAGACACUCAACUCUUAAUGUGCCCUGUUUCGGAAGUUAGUGGCACGCUAUUAAAAAUGUUCAUCUCACAUGGAAGUAUGUUUGUCGCGGUGGAAAGUGCCAUAAGGACAGGAGGGGUGGUGAUAUAUCGAGCUCUGUGGGGGCAAAGCCUCAGUCUGUCAAAUUUGAGAAUUUUUGUGUUCAUUUAUGGUCAGCUCUUUCUAAAUAUUUAGGUUUUUUUUUUUAUAAUAGAUUGUAAAUAUUUGGCAUCGGUUCAUGAGAACAUGUCUUAAAAUACAGAAUUGCUAGACUCGUUUCAGACUCUUUUACGGAUGGGAUGAUUUGGUACCAAUGGUCUGCAUUCAAGUCACAAUAUUAAAAACUUUGGAGAUGCCAAGGCUAACAUAUUCAGGUGAGUAGACUUGGAAAAAAAAAAUAUUGAUUUUGUUAGUAAUAUAGGACUUUUAAACUAAAAUAUCUGCUAGAAAUCACAGAAAAUAUUUCUAAGAGAAAUUAGUAUCAGUCCAUCUACCUGCAGUGUUUGUUGUGCUCUCUGCACUUGAUUUCAAGCAAUAAAUUUGAGCAGAUUUGAGAUUAAAAACUAGUGGAAAAUAUCAUGUUAAAUUAAUUUACAUUUGCAGGAUUAAAAAAAAACAGUAAGACAUGAAAUACUGUUUACAGAAAUUUAUUUUUUCAAAAGCCCCUAGACUCUCCAAUUACAUAGUUACCUGAGAAUCAGAAUUUUUGUAGUUAUUUUGUUAGUAUUUAUUAUAUUAAAUAGGUUUUUGAAAAUGUUUCAGGAGUCAUUUACCAAAGGUAUUUAGCAUAGUAUUAGGGUAUACAGAUAAUACAGUAUAUAUUGCAUUGUUUUUAUGUCUUGCUUUUCAUACAGUUGUUGUCAAAUCACACUUUGUCUCUACAGUCCCAUGUAACAUUUAAGUCACUACUCUUUCAGUAUUUUCGUAAAUUAUUUCUGUUUGUUGCAGGCAUAGGAAGAAAUGAGAACAUCAGCUUUCGUUCAACUCCUUGGAUACACCAUGUAAAUUAAGAAUUAUUAUAUCAAUCCUCAUUGACACACUGCUAUUUUAUGCACUUAAAAUGUUAUUUCGAAACCAUGUUAUUAAUAGUAAUAUUAAAUUCAAAAUUUUAAGUGUGUUUUUGUAUUUUAUUCCAGCAACAUGUGAGUGUUAAAUUAUUUGAUUCUACAGUAAGAUAACUUAGUCAAAUAUAGGUAAGUGUUACUGGAAAAAUGCUGCCAUGCAGAUGAAUAAAAAAUAAAAAUAAAAUGUUUUCUUUUAGACUUUUGUAAUAAAUGAUUUCACAUUUUAUUGACCUAGCUCCAUGUUUUUUUUUUUUCCAAGAUAAAAUGAUUAUUGCUUAAGAAUUUUACUGAAUAAAGAAAAGAGCAUUAACUAUAUUAAAAUAAAAUUCUUUCUUUUAUUAUAUUUGCAAUGCAAUGUCAGGUGUUGAAUGAAAGUAAUAUUUGCAACACCUAUAAAAAUCUAUGAUUAUGUUUUUUGGCAAGAUGUUUACGAAAACUUCUAAUAUAAAUAUUUCUUAAGCCUUGAUUAUGAAAAUAAUAUAAUGCUUACUUCUGAAAGAAAUUAAUGUAAGUGGAAUACUGUAGUGUGCAUGAUAUGUUCUUUGCCAUUAAAAUAUGACCUUUUUGACACACUUUUAAAGAUUUUAAUAUUUUUAGCUAUGUAUGAAUAGUAUGUAAGAAUAGUGACAAAACUCCAAUAACCCUGAUUUUGAGUUGUGCAUUAAAAAACAUUCCCAAUAAUUCAUUCAUUUUGCGAGAAAAACGUCACAACUGUACUUGCAGAAACUGCUCAUCACUACAUGGCAGUAGUGUCACCCUUUGGAGCAGAUGUUAGCCUGGCAAGAAGUGUCACAUUUCAGUAAAAGUCGUGACAUUUACCAAGUAGGACUGUGCUGCUACAAAGGAGGAGAUGCAUCGAAAAGAUGCUGGGUAUCAGUUGUGAAUUGUUCAAAAAGAGUGACACUUUUUGAUGUGUCUGUUCAUGGAAAGUAAGUAAAAAUAUUGCAUUAUAUUAAAUCAAACAAAUUGCUAUUUCGAGAUGUGUUGUUUUUCGUGAUUGUAUUGCUUUACGCUUUUUUGUCUAUGACGACAUCUUGCUGAUCCCGAAAAUUUUAAUAAUUUUUCUCCUGAAAUCAUUGGUUUUAAAAUGGUUCUGUGAGCAUAAAAUUGAUUUUACAUUUUAAGGAAAAUGUAGAUCUUUAAUGAAAGGGCCUUUACGCUCACCCCACAUGAUGUCCAUUUUCUGCUAUACCCAUGGGUAUAAUGUUAACAGAAAACCAGCCAAUAGUUGCUAACCAAAGCAAGCAUUAUGGGUUAGGAUAAACUUGUCAAUUUAACAAAAUACUGAAGGAAAAAUAUUUUAAUUGCAGCUGUAUAUGUUAAAAAUUAUGUAACCUGAUGAAUUAUUUUUUUAUGUGUUAUCGCCUAUGUAUCAUUUGUAAAAAAAUAUAAUAAUGUUGGUUUAGUAUUUAAAAACAAAUACAGAGCAAUUUUGAAAUUAA